CCUACGCGUGGCAGCAGUGGGGAAUAUUGGGCAAUGGGCGCAAGUCUGACCCAGCAACGCCGCGUGAAGGAAGAAGGCCCUCGGGUUGUAAACUUCUUUUGUCAGGGACGAAGAAAGUGACGGUACCUGACGAAUAAGCCACGGCUAACUACGUACCAGCAGCCGCGGUAAUGCGUAGUGGGCAAGCGGUAUCCGGAUUUAGUGGGUGGAAAGGGCGGGUAGGCGGGACUGCAAGUCAGAUGGUAAAUUCCAGGGCGCAACCCUGGAACUGGAUUUGCAACUGUCGUUCUUGAGUGAUGGAGAGGCAGGCGGAAUUCCGUGUGUAGCGGUGAAAUGCGUAGAUAUACGGAGGAACACCAGUGGCGAAGGCGGCCUGCUGGACAUUAACUGACGCUGAGGCGCGAAAGCGUGGGGAGCAAACAGGAUUAGAUACCCUUGUAGUC
rnacentral:rRNA from 1 species